UAUAAUUAAAACAAAAAACUUAUUAAUGUUUUGAAUUCUCUGCCAGACUUCGUGCCACAUUCUAUGUGACAGAAAUUAAUUUUCUAAAUUUAGAACUUGCCAGUUCACUUUAAAUCAUUUAAAAAGGAGAGAAGACAAAGCAGGGCUAAUGUAUGAUUCUUGUUAAAUAUCAACAAAAUGAAAGGCAAAAAGGGCCUGCCUGCUUGCCUGGCCCGCCGGUAUCUGGUGGUAAUAUCAAUAAUACGGACAUAGAGACAACAAACCAGCAUACGGGUAGUGAUGAUCGCCAGAAGAAGAUGCAACAAGAUAAUGAUCAUUAGCCUUAGUAUGGCCGCAGGAGAAGAUGCUACUGCUGCAACUUGGCUGGGCAGGAGUGCUAUCUUUCCCUGGGUUUCCAUUUAAUUUUUGCUGGUUUGUUUGAAAAAACGAGAGAAAAAAGAUGGCAAAAAAUAUGUUUUGUAUUCUGGCAUCUUCGCAGUCGAAGCAGAGGCCCACAUCUGUUUCAUAUAUUUGUUGAUGUUGUUUUUUUUUUUUUUUUGUUCUUUGUUUAUUCGCAUUCUCCGUUUUUUUUUAUUAAACCGUAACGGCUCUACUUCCCACAUAGGACAUAUCACCCGUAAAUAUAAAUAUUUAGUAUAGCGUGAAUUUGUUUAAAACA